UCUCUCUCUCUUUUUCUUUCUGUCUUUCUUUCCCUUUUUCCCCUCAUUUACCUUUUUCCCUCAUUCCACCAUCAUCAUCUCCCCUCCUCUUUGCUUUCAUUCCCUCCCUGCUCGGUUUCUCCUUCUUCCCCAAUCUUCGUCUUCCUCUCAUCUUCUCUGCUUUCAUUCCCUUCCCUUUCUCUUCCACUUCCCUUCUCUCUACACAUAGCGAUAGCUGCUUGCCGGGACUAGAAUUUCUCCCUAAUUUUUCACGACUCGUUCUAAGUCCCAGCCAUCAAUCCUGAAUAGUGAUUUCAAUCCGCUGAUUCUUUUUUUUAUUUAUUAAUUUUUUGCUUGAUUUAUUUGCUGCCGAUCGAAUUUGAUCGUAUAUGCGGUGGUUUUAGAACCGUAAUUUUAUUGGAAAAUUUAGUUUAAUUUAAUUUUUUGAAAUUGAUUAUGUAUAGUUGAUGUUUUUCGUUCGAAUUGAGGGUUUGUGUGUGUAGAUCCAGGUCAAAUGAGGGGAAGGAGGACGAAGAGAUGUCAAGGUCGGCGCAUGCAUCGAUGCCGCACAUCAGCCACACGUCACACAACCCUCAGGCUCUCGGGUUGUCGAUUCCUACCUGGCCUCUCGCUCGGGGUUGCUUGGGCUCGCUCGCCAGCACACGCUGGACUUCAUCACUCGGGCCCUUUGGCCCUGUUCCUGUGCCUGUCCCUCGGGCUGGAGCACACGGUGGAAGUGCUCUUAGUGGCUUCCAUAUCUACUCCAAUCCUAUGUCCCCACUAGCACCCCUGUUCAUACUUCUUCUCAAACCUUCUUCAUGUUUCCCGAUUCGUCCCUUUAUUGAUGCAAGAAGAACCCUUCUUCCUCCUCCGAGCCAACUCAGCGGAGAUGGGACUCUACGCACCAGAAUCUCUUCAAAACUGCCAUCAAAAGCUUUGUUUUUGAAGCAAUUUUCCCCAAUUUCGUUUAAAACCUUAUAAAUUCGGCCUUGGUUUCACCCUUUUUCUCACCUCCACCGCUCACUAUCUGUCUGUCCAUUGCUACGCUGUCACUCCAUCGAUUCGUCCGUCGCUCCGUCAAAUCUCAUCGCUUUGCCAGCCAAUAGGAAGAGUUUACAUUUGGAUGAAUAUUCCUUUUUUUUUUUUUUUUUUUUUUUCGGUUGGGUAAGUUUGAUUUUCAUUUGUAUCGUUUUUUUUUUUAUAUUCCUUUAUUAAUGAGUCUUUGAUAAUAAUUUGUCGCAGUAACGUAUUUCUUGUUCAAAAACUACCCCUAGCUUAUUCUCUCUUAUGAAUGAUGGUGGAUGACGAUUGGGUUGCAGGGCAGUUUGCAUUUGCUAGCCUUUCUCACUUUAUGGCUUAGAAAUUGGUAUGCAAAUAUUUGGACGGAUUUUAGGGUUAGAGUUUUGAAUUUGAUCCUCUAUAUUCUCACUCAAAUUUAGGAACUUUGCUCUUGUAUUUUAAUUUUGUAUUGUAUUUGUUCUAAUACUGUUGUAGUUGUAGUUGUUUUGUUGGUUUGAUCGCAGCUACCAUUUCCUCAACUUAACUAGUUCAUGGGCCAUCAUAUGGUUAGUAAUUUGAAGAUGUUUCCCUCAAUUUCUUUACCUAACCUAAGCUUGAAUAAAUCUUGGUAACCUAUAUAUUUGAAAUAUGUCCAUUGUGAUAAAAAAAAAUCAGUGGGAUGAUCCACUUUGCUUCUUAGGUAUGUGCACGAGUAUGUCUUGUUCUGAUUGAGAUGUUAACGGAAAAGCUCCAGUGUAAUAAAGAACAGUUUGUACGAAGGUCUCUGUAUUUGUCGCCGGCUCUAUAUAUAAUUGCAUCCAAUUACUUAGAUGUUAAUAAAUGGCAAUCCUGAUUUCAAGUUGUUUUCUUAUACGUUUUGGUUGUGGGUGUUUAAUGAAUGGAGAUGCAGAUGGUGGCUACGAAUGGUGCGACUCGUGUUCAUGGCUUCUCAGAAAAUUAAUGGCAAUUUCCCUUGUUCAAGCUUCUGCCUCAAGUUGUAAUUCUACCUCAAGGUCAAGGACUCCAAGAUCCUUCUCUUUGGUGGCUCACUAAAUAACUUCAAGAAACUUGGUUGAAAUGUUGUUCAUAGGUUAACGACAGUUCAUAGUAUUAACUUUCAAAGGCGUUUGGAGGUGUUCAAGGAAAAGUGAAGUCUUUCAACUGACAAUUUCCUUGUUGUUUGAGGCCUAGUUGAUGCUUCAUGUGUAGUUUGAUAUUUCCUAGUAUAAAUCAAUGGUGGUGUUGUUAGCUUUGUACAGUUUGUAAUUCUUUUUUAAUGUGAUUAU